rnacentral:rRNA from 1 species
GACGAACGCUGGCGGCGUGCUUAACACAUGCAAGUCGAACGGAAAGGCCCUGCUUUUGUGGGGUGCUCGAGUGGCGAACGGGUGAGUAACACGUGAGUAACCUGCCCUUGACUUUGGGAUAACUUCAGGAAACUGGGGCUAAUACCGGAUAGGAGCUCCUGCUGCAUGGUGGGGGUUGGAAAGUUUCGGCGGUUGGGGAUGGACUCGCGGCUUAUCAGCUUGUUGGCGGGGUAGUGGCUUACCAAGGCUUUGACGGGUAGCCGGCCUGAGAGGGUGACCGGCCACAUUGGGACUGAGAUACGGCCCAGACUCCUACGGGAGGCAGCAGUGGGGAAUAUUGCACAAUGGGCGGAAGCCUGAUGCAGCAACGCCGCGUGCGGGAUGACGGCCUUCGGGUUGUAAACGCUUUCGCCUGUGACGAAGCGUGAGUGACGGUAAUGGGUAAAGAAGCACCGGCUAACUACGUG